rnacentral:rRNA from 1 species
CUUUUUGUUGCUAGUGACUUGCGGAGUGUGCCUUGAAUAAAGCAAAGUGCUCAAUACAAGCGUCCGCUCGAAUGUAGUAGCAUGGUACGAAUAUCGGUGACGCCAAUCCGUGUUGGUUUUGGAUUGGUGUCUAGAUUAAAAGGGACAUUUGAGGGCGUUAGUACUUGGUGGCGAGAGGUGAAAUUCUUAGACCCACCAAAGACUCACUAAUGCGAAAGCGUUCGCCAAGACUGUUUUCAUUAAUCAAGAACGAAGGUUGGAGGUUCGAAGACGAUCAGAUACCGUCGUAGUUCCACACAGUAAACAAUGCCAACUUGAAUUCAGCGUGUAUAAUCAUAUACGUUGGCUUCUCCGGGAAACCAAGUCUUCGGGCUCUGGGGAUAGUAUAGUUGCAAGUCUGAAAUUUAAAGAGAUUGACGGAAGGGCACCACCAGGAGUGGAGCCUGCGGCUUAAUUUGACUCAACACGGGGAAACUCACCAGGUCCGGACAUCGAUAGGAUUGACAGAAUGACAGAUCUUUCAUGAUACGGUGAUUGGUGGUGCAUGGCCGUUCUUAGUUGGUGGAGUGAUCUGUCAGGUUAAUUCCGGUAACGAGCGAGACCACAAUCUCUAAUUGAUUACAUUCCCACUUAUUUCGGGAUUGAUCUUAGAGAGACUACCAAGUUCAACUUGGGGGAAGUGUGGCAAUAACAGGUCUGUGAUGCCCUUCGAUGUUCUGGGCUGCACGCGCGCUACAAUGGCAGCAGCAAAUAGUUGUUUGCUCGAAAGAGUAGACUAAUCAUUAAUUGCUGUCGUGAUCGGGAUUGAGCCUUGUAAUUAUUGCUCAUGAAAGUGGAAUUCCUCGUAAGCGCAAGUCAUCAACUUGUGUUGAAUACGUCUCUGCCCUUUGUACACACCGCCCGUCGCUACUACCAAUUGAAUGAUUCUGCGAGAUCUCAGGAGAGCUAGUACUUGUACCGGCUUGAUCGAGCUCAAGUAGAAUCCUUUAAAGGAAGUAAAAGUCGUAACAAGGUUUCCGUAGGUGAACCUGCGGAAGG